rnacentral:lncRNA from 1 species
UUUUUUUUUUUUUUGGUGUUACUUUAUUUGGUUCAUAUAUCUACCACCCAAUCCCUUCUGUCCCCUUAGGUAGGAGAGAAAGAAGGUUAGAAGAGAAAGGGGGCAUAGACCUCUUCAGACUACUUCUUGCUGAUUAGGGGUGUCAAGUUCCUUGGGACAAGACCAACUUUUUUCUUCUCAUCUCUUUGCUCAUCGCCACUUGACAAACUACAGCAACAGGAAGCAGCAGCAGGCUCCUCAGAGCACACGUGCAUGCCUGGUCCCUCUAGGGGCUCUGACAUUUACACCCACUCAAAAGUUCCCAGAAUUCCAAAUGUCACACACUCACAGAAACUAUCUGCAGCUGGCGAAACCACACCCUUACUAGAGCGCCAGGCAAACUAUAAUCACCUGGUGUGAGGCAGCCUCUUAUCCCACACCUGGGAUUAAAACAAAAACAUAUUCAUAUAACUGGGUUUUUACAGAAACCAAAAAUCUCACUACACGUAUGCUCUUGUGUUGCCAUUGUAACUAUCCACAGACCUCUUGUGCUCUUCCUGUGUUGAAAAUUAUGCACCCUUUAAACAGCACUCCCUCCUUUCCCAACUCUUGGUGACCAACAUUCUAUUUGUGUCUCCAUGACUUCUACUUGUUUAAGGGUCUCAUUCAAGUGGAGUUAUACAGUGCUUAUGCCUUUGUAUCUGUGAUGGUUGGUUUUAAUGAUCAACUUGACACGACUUAGAAUCAUCUGGGAAGGGAGGCUCAAUAGUGAGAUCAGGUCUAGAUCAGGUUAGCUCAUGGGUUUGCCUAUGAGAUACUGCUUACUGUCUUGGUUCUAUUACCAAGUGAGGAGACCCAUCCACUGUGGGAGGUACCAUUCCCUAGUCGGAGGAUGCUGGGCGGGGUAAUAGUGGAGAACAUGAAUUGAACACUAGCAUGCCUGCAUUUAUUGUUCUCUGAGCCUGAUUAUGGCUGUGACAUGACUUCCUCCCUUAAGUUCUUGUCACUGUGACUUGUCAACUGUGAAGGACUGUAAUAUGAAACUGUGAGCUGAAAUAAAACCCUUUCUCCU